rnacentral:rRNA from 1 species
AAUCAACGCUGGCGGCGUGCCUAACACAUGCAAGUCGCACGAGAAAGGGGAGCAAUCCCUGAGUAAAGUGGCGCACGGGUGAGUAACACGUGAAUCAUCUACCUCCGAGUGGGGAAUAACUGAGAGAAAUCUUAGCUAAUACCGCAUAACACUUACGAGUCAAAGCAGCAAUGCGCUUGGAGAGGAGUUCGCGGCCGAUUAGUUAGUUGGCGGGGUAANGGCCCACCAAGACGAUGAUCGGUAUCCGGCCUGAGAGGGCGCACGGACACACUGGAACUGAAACACGGUCCAGACUCCUACGGGAGGCAGCAGUGGGGAAUUUUGCGCAAUGGGGGAAACCCUGACGCAGCAACGCCGCGUGGAGGAUGAAGUAUCUUGGUAACGUAAACUCCUUCGAUUGGAAGAUAAUGACGGUACCAAUAGAAGAAGCCCCGGCUAACUUCGU